rnacentral:rRNA from 1 species
AGUGGUAGGGGAGCGUCGUAAUCGGGCUGAAGUCGUACCGUAAGGAGCGGUGGACUGAUUACGAGUGAGAAUGUUGGCAUUAGUAGCGAGAUGUAGGUGAGAAUCCUACAGGCCGAAUAUCUAAGGUUUCCUCAGGAAGGCUCGUCCGCUGAGGGUUAGUCGGGACCUAAGCCGAGGCCGAAAGGCGUAGGCGAUGGACAACAGGUUGAUAUUCCUGUACCACUACCAUCGUUAUUAUCGAGGGUGUGACGGAGAAGGAUAGUGUGUGCUAGCGAUUGGAAAUGCUGCUAGUCUAAGCGUUUAGGGAGUUACGGUAGGCAAAUCCGCUGUAACAAUUCUGAGGCGUGAUGGGGAAGGCCAUAUAGGCCGAAGUACAUGAUUCCAUGCUUCCAAGAAAAGCAUCUAGAGAGAGAAGUAGUGCCCGUACCGCAAACCGACACAGGUAGAUGAGGAGAGAAUCCUAAGGCCGGCGGAAGAAUUGCAGUUAAGGAACUAGGCAAAUUGACCCCGUAAGUUCGCGAGAAGGGGUGCCUGCGAGAGCAGGCCGCAGAGAAUAGGCCCAAGCAACUGUUUAGCAAAAACACAGGUCUCUGCUAAAGCGCAAGCUGAUGUAUAGGGGCUGACGCCUGCCCGGUGCUGGAAGGUUAAGGGGAACACUUAGCGCAAGCGAAGGUGUGAACUUAAGCCCCAGUAAACGGCGGCCGUAACUAUAACGGUCCUAAGGUAGCGAAAUUCCUUGUCAGGUAAGUUCUGACCCGCACGAAUGGCGUAAUGACUUGGGCACUGUCUCAACUGCAAAUCCGGCGAAGUUGUAGUGCGAGUGAAGAUGCUCGCUACCCGCGAUUGGACGGAAAGACCCCGUAGAGCUUUACUGUAGCUUAGCAUUGAAUUCCGGUAUUGUCUGUACAGGAUAGGUGGGAGACUGGGAAACUAGGGCGUCAGCCUUGGUGGAGUCGUCCUUGGGAUACCACCCUGACAGUACUGGGGUUCUAACAGGACGCCAUGAAUCUGGUGACUGGACAUUGUUAGGUGGGCAGUUUGACUGGGGCGGUCGCCUCCUAAAAAGUAACGGAGGCGUUCAAAGGUUCGCUCAGCUUGAACGGAAAUCAAGCAAAAGAG